rnacentral:misc_RNA from 1 species
GAUGAAGAACGCAGUGAAAUGCGAUACUUGGUGUGAAUUGCAGAAUCCCGCGAAUCAUCGAGUUUUUGAACGCAAGUUGCGCCCGAAGCCAUUCGGCCGAGGGCACGUCUGCCUGGGUGUCACGCAUCGUUGCCCCCCCAAACUUCGGUUCGGGCGGGGCAGAAGUUGGCCUCCCGUGCGUGCCUGCGCGUGCGGUUAGCCCAAAAGCGAGUCCUCGACGACGAGCGCCACGAAAAUCGGUGGUUUUUUUGCCCUCGUUCCUCGUCGUGCGUGCCCCGUCGCCCGAACGCGCUCUUGCGACCCUCACGCGUCGCCUCGGUGGCGCUCCCAACGCGACCCCAGGUCAGGCGGGACUACCCGCUGAGUUUAAGCAUAUCAAUAAGCGGAGGA